AGAGUUUGAUCAUGGCUCAGAACGAACGCUGGCGGCGUGGAUAAGACAUGCAAGUCGAACGGGAUUAUUUUUGUAGCAAUACAGAAAUAAUUCAGUGGCGAACGGGUGCGUAACACGUGGGCAAUCUGCCGAAAAGUGGGGGAUAGCUCGCCGAAAGGCGAAUUAAUACCGCAUGUGGUGAGGGACGACAUCUUCCUGAAUCCAAAGCCGGGGCAACCUGGCGCUUUUUGAGGAGCCCGCGGCCUAUCAGCUAGUUGGCGGGGUAACGGCCCACCAAGGCUAUGACGGGUAGCUGGUCUGAGAGGACGACCAGUCACACUGGAACUGAGACACGGUCCAGACACCUACGGGUGGCAGCAGUCGAGAAUUUUUCUCAAUGGGGGAAACCCUGAAGGAGCGACGCCGCGUGGAGGAUGAAGGCUUUCGGGUUGUAAACUCCUGUCAUUUGAGAACAAGGUGCGAGUAUUAACUGUACUCGCAUUGAUAGUAUCAGAAGAGGAAGGGACGGCUAACUCUGUGCCAGCAGCCGCGGUAAUACAGAGGUCCCAAGCGUUGUUCGGAUUCAUUGGGCGUAAAGGGUGCGUAGGUGGCGCCGUAAGUCGGGUGUGAAAUUUCGGAGCUUAACUCCGAAACUGCAUUCGAUACUGCGGUGCUUGAGGACUGGAGAGGAGACUGGAAUUUAUGGUGUAGCAGUGAAAUGCGUAGAGAUCAUAAGGAAGACCAGUGGCGAAGGCGGGUCUCUGGACAGUUCCUGACACUGAGGCACGAAGGCCAGGGGAGCAAACGGGAUUAGAUACCCUAGUAGUCC
rnacentral:rRNA from 1 species